UUCCGUAGGUGAACCUGCGGAAGGAUCAUUCACACGAAUCCAACCCUAAACCGUGAAGCUUACCUGGGACCGGGCGCGUAGUUUCGCCUUGCGCGAUCUCCGCCGCGAGCUUACCCAAGGCGUCGUCUCGUUCGCUCUAUUCCAAACGGCUCCCGAGCAAUGGCCGCGUCCGUGGUUAUCCUCGGGAUGUUCCGGGAGCGGGCCCGCCUCCCAGUGGGGGGAUGUGGUAGAGGCGUUCGCCGCUUUUUCUCUCACUCCAACUCCGAAUGCCUGUGAGCAACGCAACCAAUUAAAACUUUCAGCGAUGGAUGCCUCGGCUCGAGUACCGAUGAAGGACGCAGCGAAAUGCGAUACGCAUUGUGAAUUGCAGAAUUCCGUGAGUCAUCAGAUCUCUGAACGCACUCUGCACUCUCGGUGUAAUCCGUGAGUACACCUGGUUCAGUGUGUUUUGUUCCUCGUGCCAGCUGCAAUCGAGCAGUUCAAUGGCGUUGGUGUGUGCUGCGGGGUUCGUCCCCCCGGCGCAUGAAUGGCAUUAGGGCUCGCUCCUCGCAACCAGGGUGAUCGCAGCUUGUCUGCGUUUCAUGUUUGACUGCGCUGGAGGCUAACGAGGUACCUGUUCUUCUUUGACUGUUCGCUCUCGGGCGUUAACGGUCUUCCAAUGCAAACCUGAACUCAGGUGGGGCUACCCGCUGAACUUAAGCAUAU
rnacentral:rRNA from 1 species